AUUCUUCAACACGUGGAGAAAGCUUCAAAGUAAGACGACAGUGCCGAAGUUCUUAAAAUAGCACAAGCCCUAGGCAUUUUCCACCCCCGCCACCUGGCAGAGGUAAUCUGUGAUGCAAUGUGCUGACGCAUAAACCCAUGACAAGCCAAUUUGGAAUUCGCCCAUCCCUCUUCCUAUAUCCAGCCUCAAAACGAUGAAAAGCGGCUUUUCAAAACAGAAUCAGCCAAUCAAGAAAAACUAAAGACACAAACUAGUGAAAAAUUUAAAUUUUAAGGCCUCUUCAGGUCUAUAAAACCUUAAGAUAAAUGUAUUAGAAAAAUAGGUUUGAAAAAGAUAAGUUUAUUUACUUGAUUAGAUGUACAGAGCGUUUUUUUUAAGUACGCUGGAAAAAAAAUAUCACUUGAGAUGAAACGAA